rnacentral:rRNA from 1 species
AUUGAACGCUGGCGGCAUGCUUUACACAUGCAAGUCGAACGGUAACAGGCCGCAAGGUGCUGACGAGUGGCGAACGGGUGAGUAAUGCAUCGGAACGUGCCCAGUCGUGGGGGAUAACUACUCGAAAGAGUAGCUAAUACCGCAUACGAUCUAUGGAUGAAAGCGGGGGACCGUAAGGCCUCGCGCGAUUGGAGCGGCCGAUGUCAGAUUAGGUAGUUGGUGGGGUAAAGGCUCACCAAGCCAACGAUCUGUAGCUGGUCUGAGAGGACGACCAGCCACACUGGGACUGAGACACGGCCCAGACUCCUACGGGAGGCAGCAGUGGGGAAUUUUGGACAAUGGGCGCAAGCCUGAUCCAGCAAUGCCGCGUGCAGGAAGAAGGCCUUCGGGUUGUAAACUGCUUUUGUACGGAACGAAACGGCUCUGGUUAAUACCCGGGGCUAAUGACGGUACCGGAAGAAUAGGCACCGGCUAACUACGUG